AAGAAAAAAAAAAAAAGAUAAAAUGUAGUUAUGAAAAGGCUUCUAAGCAUUUUUAAGCAUUUUAUAUUAAAACAGGAAUUCAGAACAAAUCACAGCAAACAACAAAAAAAAAGACUGGGGAUGGAAGAAAUUCAAUUUUAAAUAUAAACUUUGACAGGUGGGUGGCGAAUCUGGGUGUUGUGAGUCAUUUCCUGGCUUGUUUGCCACAUGGCCUCCUCUAUAAGUGUCACCCUAAUUGAUGUAUUCGUUUGGGGUGGGUGCUCUUCUGAAGUUUUUGUUUCUCCCUUUCUUUGGGGUGCACUGGGUGUGCGUGGUAGGAACUAGGGCCGUGGAAUUAAAGAAUCUUGAGUUUCUAAUGCAAAUUCAGUCCCAAGCAGUGUGACCCGGUUGCUUAACUCCUUUGGGCCACCCCCGCCCAUGGCCCUCAUCUGUACCCUGGGGAUAAUAUAAUAGUAUGGACUUUACAGGCUUUUGGCAAGCAAAUGAGACGAUGUAGCAAAACACUCAGCCGAGAGCGUAGCACCAAUUGGCCUGUAAUCCAUGGUGCACCGACACAGCCAUUCCCUGGAUGUGGCCUCUUCUGCCUCCACUGUGAGGUCAGAGACCUAGUCACUGCAGGGGUAACCUCUCCUUGGCAAGCAGCGGGAGUCAUUUCAUCCCAGCCUUUCAGGAGGGUGAAUCUGCACCUGGGGUCCAGAGUCUCAGAGAUGAGACUUGAGCCAGGCGCUCAUUCAUCAUGACUCAGGCUGUAGAGGCUCUAACCAUGGUUUCUCCAUGCAGGAGUGAGGUUGGGACAAGAGGUCUUUCUGGGGGCUCUGUGCUCUGUGGCCCCUGCUGCUCUGGACUGGUUCAUUGGAGAAACCUGUCACAUUCUUUAGACCGGUUGCCACACCAUGCUCAUAGUCUCUGUUCUUGCCAUCCUAGGUGGGAAGUGAGUGAUGACCCUGAAGUGAGGGCUCAUCUCUCGAUCUCCAAGGGCUGCAGCUCAGCCAGCACUUUUCAAAGGUGAUCUGGAGCUAGCCUGGCCUGUUGGCUGACCAUAGGUGACUUUAGGUAGCCCAUUCCCAGGCUCAGCGGCAGUCGGGGAGCUGCCUCGAUUUCUGGUGACAGAAUUCCUGGGACUGAGUCACUGCAGUAAGUGCUGUGAUGAAUUGUGUUUACUUUGUGUGGGAUUCCGAACUGUAGCAGCAGUGACUGCAGCUGGAAGACAGCGUGAUCAGCAGCUUCCAAGGCAGAGUCUGGCGUCAGAAAGCUGCAUUGCACUAAUGCUGAAGCCCGUGGGAGCCCAUUGGAGAGACACUUGGAUGUUUAGCGGGCUGGUGACUCUCCUUGUCAUGAGUAAUCUUAGGACCUUGGGCAAGUCAUCCAAACUCCUCUGGGCAUGUCAUUCUCCUGCUUGGAGGCCUUGAGGCAGAGAGGCAGUGAGGCGAAGUGGUCAGUGCAUGGACUCUGCCUCUAGCCUGCUGAGGUUUGAAUCCACCUGUGUGAUCUUGUAUGAUAUUAACUUCUCUGGCUCUCAGCUCUCUCAUGUGUGAAAUAGGAGAUUUUAACAGUAUCUAUUUCAUAGGGUUGGUGUUUGAACGAGUUAACAUAUGUCAAGUGAGUGGUACAGUGCCUGGUGUCCUGGCAAGUUUGCUAUCAGGAUUAAGGCAGGAGCCCUUGGCACGCACUAAAAGCUCAAUAAAUAUGAGCUGAUGUUUUUGGUCCUUUAUUACUAUUCAAGAAGCCUGCCCAGCCUUCCUCCCUCCCCAUCCGCACAGCAGCCUGGUACCCGCUGUUCUCUAGGUUCUGGCCAUAUGUCAUGACAUGUUCUGAUGAUCUGGCUUCUCCCCUUAGACAGUGGGGCCCUCGAGGCAGGCCCACAGGACUUGGUCCUCACUGCCUCUGUGGCGCCUGGCACCGGGUCCAGCUGACGUGGAGAGGGACUCAGGAAACAGUGGCUGAGUGUGACUUUGGCUGGCGUAGUGGUUGCUGGGAGAACAGACAAGGUUCUCUCUCAUGAUGUACAGAUUUCAGAUCAGGGAAAGUCCCGGCUGGCAUAAGUUUAUCGAGCAUCUCCCAUGGGCAAGAUAGGCUGUGGCCGGAGCCUUGAAGUACACAGUAGAAGGAGAGCGAGUCUUCCCAGGCCAGGGCUUCAAGUGAGGAGACAAGAUGUAGCCUCCCAGAGAAUUCCCAGAAUGCAAUCGUGAAAAGAACCAUGCCCAGCAGGAGGCAGGGGAAAGUGACUCCUGAAACUCUAGGAAGGCUUCCUGGAAGAGGUGGAAUGUGAGCAGCAUAGGAUUUUGAGAGAAGAAAUGGAAUGGGCUGAAGGAGAUUCUGCUGGUGGAGGCUCAGGUUGACCUAAGGGCUAGCAGCAGUGGAGGCCCCCCACAAGUGAUUUUGAGGGGGCUCUUUAGCUCAGUCUAGUUGAGGUAGAGGCUUUCCGUAGGGGUGUGGUGUGACCUGAAUGUUGGGCACAUGGUCAUAACUGAGCUUUAACGUGAUGACUCGAGCCUGUAAUCCCAGCACUUUGGGAGAUCAAAGCUGGGGGAUCACCUGAGAUCAGGAGUUCGAGACCAACCUGGGCAACAUGGUGAAAUCCUGUCUGUACUAAAAAUACAAAAAUCAGUUGGGCAUGGUGGUGGGCGCCUGUACUCCUAGCUACUCAGGAGGCUGAGGCAGGAGAAUCACUCCAACCUGGGAAGCGGAGGCUGCAAUGAGCCGAGAUCGUGCUGCUGCACUGUAGCCUGUCUCAAAACAAAAAACAAAAAACAAAACAAAACAAAACAAAAAAACAAAACACUGUCUCAAAAAAAAAGUCAAUAAAGAGAGAGGGAAGAAAGGCGGGGCACGAUGCUAUUUAAGUCUCUGAGCAUCUUAUAGCGUUGUUUACAUCCCAGCUUUUCACUGACCCUUCCUUUACCCCGGCCCCCACCCCAUGGUCCUUGUUCUGUCCUGCCCUUUUCUGUCCUGCGUUUUCUCUUCCCGGCUGCUCUGUCCCCAGCCCCAUGUGCCAGCUUGAUUCAGCCUGGCAAGGAGGCCUGCUGGUAUCCCAGCCAUUUCCUGCCCCAAGGUGCCCACCCUCCUCCAAUCAGCACGGCCUUGCCCUACGUAGGCAUGACCUCGCCCCUGCGGCAGCCGGGAAGCAGAGCUCCUGUUUCUUGCCUGUUUACCCUGGCGCAGGGACAGGUAGAUCAUGUGGCACUGCUGGGAUGCCAGCUGCAUGAGUCUCCGGCAGUGGGCACAGGCGGAGGGCAGGGGGCAUUCUUCUGGACUGACUUGAGCCCGGCCUGCCUGGCACGAGACCCCCCUGCUCCUGGAGGCAGCUCAGGGCCUUGCUCACCGCUGCCCUGGCUCUGCACUGGGCCGCUGAGUCAUCACUCAGCAGUAAGGCCUCUGAGUCACGGCGCAGCCCUGGACUGGACAGUGAGUGCUUUGUGAGACCCUCCUGGGCUUUCCUGUCCCUCAGAGCAUUUAAAGGGGUCCCAAAUUGUCAUGUGACCCUCUCUGAUGCUAAAGAGACACUCUAGGUCUUUCGUGCCCUGGUCAUUUUACAGAGCUGUGGCCGGAUGCCAGGCAUUCAGGGACAUAUUCCUCAAUCUCGAUCCGCCUCACAGGAUCCAGCAUCGGAGAGUUCAAUUCAAGUCAGCAGCCGAGUUCCAGGAAGGCAGCCAGGGUGGUGAUUCAGCAAGUCCAGACAGGAGUGAACCGGGCAAGAUUUUGGGAGGAGAGGGCUGGGUCGCGUGUCCCGGCAGGGCCACAGGAAGAGCGUACACAUCUCCUGUGUCUUGCGUACUUUGUGAGUGUCUUGAAAUGACCUUGAGAAUCUCCCCGAUACCAUGAAGAAGCAGGUGCAGGAAUGCCACUUAUCCAUUGGCACAGGCCAGCAUGCUCAGUGUGCACCGAGGUUGUGAAUUCUUGUCCUGACCCAAAGAUGCUGAUGCUGUGCUUAUACCCAUUUCACGGUUGAAGAAACCGAAGGUGUAGUAGGAGAAGACACUGACUCAGAAUCACAGAGCUAGAAAGCAGCAUGUCUGGGAUUUGACCCAGACCUGUCUAACUCAGUUUACUAUUCUAAACUACCUGAUUCGUUAGGUUUCUCUCCUCACUCUCUGUCUCUCUUUCUCCCACGUGACUGCUGGAAUCUUCCCUAAGGACCAAAGCUGUCUGCAGUGCAGGAAGCCAACUAUUAAGGGGAAACAAAAGUGUUCUUAGGAGUCCUGCUGUCAUUGUGAAUUGAGCCGGUAAAGCCCCGAGGGGUUUCAUCACCGAGGUGGAUGGAGAAGCAGCUGGGGGCCUUGACUUUAGUAAGGACCCCUAAGGGCCUGAUCUUUUGGCUAGAAGGAGAUUAAAAAGAUGCCCCUCAAGAUGGCUAUGCCUGUCAGCUGCAUGGAGCUUCGUUCGAGUAUUUUCUGAGCCUGAUGGAUUUACAGUGAUCUUCGGUCGUCUGAGGAAUAACUCUGGUGGAACAAUGCACUGGAAUGACACACGCCCUGCACAUUUCGGGAUACUAAAAGUGGUUUUAAAGGAGGCCCUGGCUGAAUGCCUCAUGGAUUCUUACAGCUUGGAUGUCCAUGCGGGAUGAAGGACCGCAGCUGGCUGUGAGGACUGAGAUCUCUGUUUACUUGGGUCUCUGCCAACUUCCUUUGGGUCUCCCUAUGGAAUGUAAGACCCCGACUCUUCCUGGUGAAGCAUCUGAUGCAUGUUCCGUCCGGCGCUCAGCUGGGCUUGAGCUGACCACACUCCCUGGAGCCUUCUCCCGAGGUGGCACAGGUGUCCUUGGCACAUACAGCCAUGGUGAUGGUACUUUAAGUGGAGGCUGAAUCAUUUUCCCUUUGAGCUGCAUGGCACAUGGCUCCCUUGGUGUUCCCAUUUUACAGCCAGGACACUGAGAUUUGGAGAGAAUCCUGUUACACCUGGGAUUUAGGCACUUUCAAUCUGAAAAAAACAUAUCCCUUCAGCACUCUGGAUGGACUUGAGAACUGUCCUUACCUGAACUAAAGCUGGAGUAUUUUGAGAUUGGAGAAUUAAGUUGAGGACGUGGAAGUGCUGAGAUGCAACAUAAGUUCCCCCAAAUUACUCAGCUACUUGAGGCACAGCUGACAUCCAGAAGCUUCUCCGGAAAGGCUUUUGGAGUUCCCCAAGGCAGAGUCAACAAGAACGUAAGUUCCUUGAGAAGAGGGACUGUGUGCCUCACUCACUGUCAUCUCCCCACCACCUGCCUCAAAAUGGACAUUCUGUUAAUAGUUACUGAGUGAAUAGACACAGGAAGUUCAGCCUUUUUUGAUCUAAUUUCUUGCUCAAAGCUCAUCACAGCAUUCAACAUGUGGCUUCCUCACUAACCUGUGCACCCCUCAAGUCCAGGACCAUGUCAGAUUGUCUUUGAAUCCCUCAGCCCCCGUCUCAGACCUGCAUCAGGGCAGGUGUUCAGCAAAUGAAUAUCAAAUUGUGGAAACGGGGAUCUCUCCAUUCUGGAUUCAAGACAGCGCCCUCCCUGUGAAGCUUUUCUGAGCCCUUUCACACUGAAGUUCUCCAAACCUUCAUGUUGACACCUAUCUGCCUGCUGCCCUCAGUCCAGGAGCAACUUGGACAUCAGCCCUACCUGUCACACUGGGGUUGGUGCACCUGGCCUGUUCCGGGACAGAUCGCAAGGCUGAGGGUUAAGUAACACCUGGAGUGGUUAGGAGUCUGGGCACCUCCUUCUUGUGAAUCUCCCGGGCUGCGUGGCGGGUGGCGGGCGGCUGGCAGGGGAGGACCCUUGGCAGUGCUGUGGCUUUGCAUUUGCUGCCAGCGGGGCCUUUGAUGCCCCAGGGGCUGCUCGCCCAGCCAAAGGCAUUGUAGAACACAAAAGCUGCAGAAAGCAGCACAAAUAAAGUAAAAACGACCCAGGAACUGCCAGGGAACUUAUCAGCCUGUUUCCUGGUCACAGGUAUGGGGUGUAGGGAGUCACGGGGAGCAUUUCUGGGCCUUGUGAUCGCUUGCAUGUUGCCAGGGCCCCUGGUAUUGUGUUCAAAGCAUUAACCUGGAAGCUAAGCAAGGCUCUUCACCUUGCAAAACUGACUGAAUGAGUCCAAACUCUUAGAGUUUUUGUGAGGGUUAGAUAGGUUGAUAAGUUAAAGUGCCUACUCUGUGUGUGUGCAUCUAAUAAUGAUAACAGCCACAGUAGUAAUAACAAUAGCAGCUAAUACUUUCUGAGCAUUUCAUGUAUGCCAAACACUAUUUUAACUGAUUUUUAUAUUAAUUCAUUUAAUCUUCAUAAUGACACUAAGAGGUAGGUAGUACUGUUGUCUUCAUUUUAUAGAUGAGAAAUUUCACCAAAGCUCAGAGAUGUUAAGUAAUUUCUUUAAGAUGGCACAGCGCAUGAAAAGACAAUCCGGCAUUUGAACCUGGCACUCUGGUUGAGAAACACUGGUCUAUAGCCACCUUGCUACCCAUUUCUUCCCCCAGCCUUUGGAAUAUUGUGUUCCCCUAAUUAUUAUGGUAGUGAGGACAACCACGUGAUGAUGAUGAUGAGGAUGAGGAUGACGAUGAUGACAGUGAUGGCGGUGGUGAAGGAGGAAGACAUGCCCUCAUUUCGUAUAGCAAUCUGCUUCUUGCUGGGAUUUCAAAUCCAUUUUCAUUGUUGAUCCUGAGAGCAAGCCUUGGAGGGGGAGUCACUUUGAAAUCCCAGGAAACUGGGCCUUAAGAGGCAGCUGAAGACCCAUGCAUUCAUGCGGUGGAGUCUGCGAGGCCCAGAGCGGAAGAAGAGGACAUGGGUGUAGCCGCCCACACUGCUGUGCCUACAGCUCUGGAUCCUGACUGUGACAGGAAAUUGAGGCUGUUCCCUUGACCUCUCCAGUCAGCUUAGUGGUGACCUCAAGCCCUCUUAUGAGGUGGUGGAUCAUAGCUACCGUUGAUUGAGGAAACUGCCAAAUUGUCUUCCACAGUGGCUACAUUAUUUUGCAUUCCCACCAACAAUGAGAGUCCCUGUUGCUGCAAAUCCUUCACCAGAAUUUGGUAUUCAUGUUUUGGAUCUCAGCAUUCUAAUAGAAGGACAGAAUAAUGGGCUCCAGAUUCGCAAGCCCCACCAAGAGGAUCACCCCAGGAACCCUUGGAGGCUGAGGAGUUCACUGAGGCUAGUGCAUCUUGAGACUCAGGAUGAAGACCCAACUUGGGGCUGUCAAAGGUGCAGCCUGCCAGCUGAGACCUCCAGGGGUCAAGCCCAGGCCCCUUUGCCUUGUUCAUGGCUUAGGCCAGUGCUUAGCAUAUGGCAAACAACUUGUAAAUGUUUAUGAGAGGAUGUGGGGGGGUCAUCCCUUUGGAAUGGCACACUGUCCAUUAUCAUUGUCCUCAGAGGCUCCAGCCUCAGGUGCUUCUUAAACUGCGAUGGGAAUGAUGGCAGCAGGUGGGUCCAGGGCUCAGCAUGAGAGCUCACAGCAGGCUGUGCUCCACCCCACCCAGGACCCUAGUCUUGCCAUGUUUCCUCUGCCUCACCAGGCUGGCCUAGAAACUGCUUCCAACUGAAGCCAGCCAACAUGCAUGCCCCUAACCACACCUGCAACUCUAGGGUCACCAUUAGUCUAGAUCAGAGGUCCUUAAACUAUAGCCUUUGCCAGGCACGGUGGCUCAUGCCUGUAAUCCCAGAACUUUAGGAGGCCGAGGCAGGUGGAUCACUUGAGGUAGAAAGUUCGAGACCAGCCUGGCCAACAUGGCAAAACCCCGUCUCUACUAAAAAUACAAAAAUUCGCCAGACAUGGUAGCGCACACCUGUAAUUCCACCUACUUGGAAGACUGAGGCAAGAGAGUCUCUUGAACCUAGGAGGUGGAGGUUGCAGGAAGCUGAGAUCACACCACUGAACUCCAGCCUGGGCGACAGAGUGAGACUGCCUCUCAAAACAAACAAACAAACAAACAAAGAAACAAACAAACAAACACUACAGCCUUUGGGCUAAAUCUGGUCAGUGUUCUGUGCUUGUAAGAACUCUGAGUGAAGAACAAUUUUUAUGUCUCUCUAAAGGGUUGAAGAAUACAAAAAGAAUAUUCAACAGAGACCAUCUGGCUAGCAAAGCCUAAAAUAUUGACCCUCUGGUCCUUUACAGAAAAGGUGUGCCGGUCGCUGGACUGGGCAGUGCCGACCGCACCCCGGGCUCCCUGUGAAAAUUUCACCCACACAGACUCAUUUCCUUUCUCUUAUCAACACUGAGGCAGGUGAGAUUAUCAUUCCUUGUAAACGUGGAGAAACUAAGGCACGGAGAAGUUUAACUCAUUUACCUGAGAAUCUAUUAAGUAACAGAGCCAGGGUUCCAACCCAGGCCGUCCAGCUUCAGAGUCCAUACCUCCUAGCUGCACUCUGGGCCAUCAGCGUAGGGAUGAGCUUCAGACAAGAACUCCCCUCUUAGCUUCUGCCCUCUCCUGCCCCACAGCCAGUGGACAGGCAUUUUGCACCCCAGUCUGCCCCAGCCAGCUCCUCCUCAGAGAUUUCCUGCAGGGACUUAGACGGGGCUUUGGGACCACCCUCCUUUUCUGCCCCACCCAGCACCUAGAACUCUGCUUGAUCCUGCUCCCUCUAAGGCUGGACACGUCUCCAUGAGCCAGGCCUGAAGUUGUUCCCCUCUCUGGACCUCAGGACCUCCCUUUCUAGGAGCAGUUCCUGUAUCCCCUCUCCUCUCUGCCUUCCCCGCUUCCCACCAUGUCCUUCCAAUAAGGGACUGGAUUUGUAGUGUGCAGCCUUGGGAACAGGGUUGGGCUCAGGGGUUGGGAGCAGAGGCCCAGGGCUCUGGCUGACCCUCUCUCAUCCCAGGAGGAGAAGCUGCUGUAUUUAGAGUGUCACAAAGAACAGUGUUGGAGGCUUCAGAAACCAUGGGAGAUUCUGAACUUCUAGGCUGAGCAGAUGGGAUGGUGCCUCUGUGAUCAACAGGCCUGGCAGAGGGGUGCAGGAGGGGGUGAGAAUGGAAAGACAGCUGCCAAGGGGAACAGAGAGCUUUUCAAGUCACCCUUGUCCCCUCCCCCCCUCAUCAUCAGGGCUAAGACUAAACCUCACCAUCCGGUUGCAGCCCCUCGGCCCUGGGGAUGGAGAUUAGUGUGCAUAGAAUGAAGGUACAGAGGCCGUGUUCUGGCUGUGUGACCUUGCACAGGUUACAUAACACUCUGUGCCUCACUUUACUCAUUUUUAAAAUGAUGAAGAUGAUAACUACCUGGCAGGGUCUUAUAUUAGAGAUAAUACGGUUCCCGGCACUUUGUAAGCACUCGGUGUGAAAUUGUCUUCUGCUGCUCCCCUUCAUCAGUCCACCCCUCCUCUGCAGAGGUUUCCUCCAUGCUGAGCAAGCUGGCAGUAACUAAGUCCCUGCUGGGCGCAUCCCUAGUGUCUUCUGCCCAGGCCUCGGGACCCCCAGGGAUCCUGGCCCCUGUGGACAGGGACUUUUGUACUCUCCUUCACUGUUACCAGCAAGAGUGAGUCCUGCACUGAAUUUCCACGGGAUCAUUGUUUGCUAACAUUUGUGCGUGAGUUACUGUCUAGAAAGCAGCUUUUCUGGCCUUUUCCCAUUAAUUUCACGAAAGUUAUCUUCCUUUGCCCUUACUGCAGUCCUGUGAGAGGUUCAUUACCCCAUUUUACAAACAACUAAUGCUCCGAGAUGAAGUGACUCCCCCGGGGUCGCCUAGCUAAGCAGUGGAGAGUGGGUCUCCCACCUGGCCCUCUCACUCUGACUCCUGUUCUCUGCGUCAUUGCAUAUGGCGACAUGUGGGUCACGUUUUCACACAUCCCUAGCUGAUAUGGAAUGGUGAGCUUCUCCUGGGUCUUCCGAGGAAGGAUGUUUGCAGGGGUGUUUUGGAAUGAAGGCAGUGGAGGCCAAGAGACCUCUAGGUCAAAGCCAGGCAGGAGGGUCCUCUCAGGGACCCAGCCAACAAGUUGUAUUUCUCCCUCAGAGGCUUGAAGAGGCAGAACACCCGAGAGGAGUCUGGGGCCACCACCCAGCGUCACUGUGGGAAAACGGCAGCAGGAAAUGUCGUCUCACCUGCGUGCUCCACCUCUGUCCACACCUUCCCUCCUUCUGGAAGCCUUGCCUGACCACUGGCCUGCCCCUUCUAUGGGAAUCGCUGCUGACCUUGCAGCUCACUGUAGACUUAUAUGUAUGCAGAAAUAUAAUUUUAAUUACUUUUGUAUUGCUCCAAGAGUGAUACCGAAUCACGACAGAAAAUUUAAAUAAACAAAAUAACCAAGUUAAUACAAGCAAUCACUCCAGUCAAAUACACCCAGCUCACAUUUUGAUGUAAAAUCUUCCAGUACAUUUCCUAUGUACAUAUAUAUUUUUAGGAAGGAGAUUAUAUUUUACAUGCUGUUUUCUAAAACGUUCUUUUAAAACUGUGUCAUAAACAUUUUUCCUUAUAAUUAAAUUGUCUUCUACAACAAAAU